rnacentral:rRNA from 1 species
CCUACGGGAGGCAGCAGUGGGGAAUAUUGCGCAAUGGGCGAAAGCCUGACGCAGCGACGCCGCGUGAGGGAUGAAGGUCUUCGGAUCGUAAACCUCUGUCAGCAGGGAAGAACGGUCACUGUGCUAAUCAGCAGUGAAUUGACGGUACCUGCAAAGGAAGCACCGGCUAACUCCGUGCCAGCAGCCGCGGUCAUACGGAGGGUGCGAGCGUUAAUCGGAAUUUCUGGGCGUAAAGCGCUCGUCAGCGGUAUGUCAAGUCAAGGGUGAAAUCCCCGCGCUCAACGUGGGAACUGCCUUUGAAACUGGCAAACUGGAGUGUGUGAGAGGAUAGUGGAAUUCCUGGUGUAGGAGUGAAAUCCGUAGAUAUCUGGAGGAACAUCAGUGGCGAAGGCGACUAUCUGGCACAUAACUGACGCUGAGGAGCGAAAGCGUGGGUAGCAAACAGGAUUAGAUACCCUAGUAGUC